GACGAACGCUGGCGGCGUGCUUAACACAUGCAAGUCGAACGGAAAGGCCUCUUUCGGGGGGUACUCGAGUGGCGAACGGGUGAGUAACACGUGAGUAACCUGCCCUUGACUUUGGGAUAACUUCAGGAAACUGGGGCUAAUACCGGAUAGGAGCUCCUGCUGCAUGGUGGGGGUUGGAAAGUUUCGGCGGUUGGGGAUGGACUCGCGGCUUAUCAGCUUGUUGGUGGGGUAGUGGCUUACCAAGGCUUUGACGGGUAGCCGGCCUGAGAGGGUGACCGGCCACAUUGGGACAGGGUACCGCCCCAGCGCCCUAGGGGGGGCAGAGGGGGGAAAUAUGGCAAAAGGGGGGGAGGCCUGAGGCAGCAACGCCGGGGGGGGGAUGCGGGCUUUGGGGUUGUAACCCGUUUUCCCUCAUGAGAAAGCUUUGUGGGAGGGUAGUGGGUAAAGAGGCCCGGACUAGCUACGUC
rnacentral:rRNA from 1 species